rnacentral:rRNA from 1 species
CGAGCGGCGAACGGGUGAGUAACACGUGAGCAACCUGCCCCGAAGACUGGGAUAACACCGGGAAACCGGUGCUAAUACCGGAUACCCCCACCAGGCCGCAUGACCAGGUGAGGAAAUGAAUUUCGCUUCGGGAGGGGCUCGCGGGCUAUCAGCUUGUUGGUGGGGUAACGGCCUACCAAGGCGACGACGGCUAGCUGGUCUGAGAGGACGACCAGCCACACUGGGAUUGAGAACGGCCCAG